UGGAGGGUCUGUCAGAGUCAGGGUCAGAGGCAGGUCUAAAAGGUGGAGGUCUGUCAGGGGCAGGUCAAGAAGGUGGAGGUCUGUCAGGGGCAGGGGCAGGUCAAGGAGGUGGAGGUCUGUCAGAGUCAGGGUCAGAGGCAGGUCUAAAAGGUGGAGGUCUGUCAGGGGCAGGUCAAGAAGGUGGAGGUCUGUCGGGGCAGGGGCAGGUCAAGGAGGUGGAGGUCUGUCAGAGUCAGGGUCAGAGGCAGGUCUAAAAGGUGGAGGUCUGUCAGGGGCAGGUCAGAAGGUGGAGGUCUGUCAGGGGCAGGGGCAGGGGCAGGUCAAGGAGGUGGAGGUCUGUCAGGGGCAGGUCAAGGAGGUGGAGUUCUGUCAGGGUCAGAGGCAGGUCAAGGAGGUGGAGUUCUGUCCGGGUCGAGGCAGGUCAAGAAGUGGUGGGCUCUGUCAGGGCCAGAGGCAGGUCAAGGAGGUGGAGUUCUGUCGGCCAGAGGACAGGUCAGGAGGAGGUGGAGGUCUGCCGGGUGGUGGGCAGGUCAAGGAGGUGGAGUUCUGUCAGGGUCAGAGGCAGGUCAAGAAGGUGGAGCUCUGUCAGGGCCAGAGGCAGGUCAAGGAGUGGGUGGAGGCUGCCGGUGGUCAGGGGCAGGUCAGGAGGUGGAGGUCUGUCAGGGUCAGGGUCAGAGGCAGGUCAAGGAGGUGGAGGUCUGACAGUAUGUCAGGGCCAGAGGCUGAUGUAGUUUACACCCGUGGAUUGGUACACUUCACCCGGCAGGAUUUCCUGUGUCUCUCAAUCCAAUCCCCAAAGUCCCAACGCAGUAGUCACAAAUAAUGAAACAGCUGAACAGUCAGUCAUUCCUUACUCUGCUACCACCUUGUGGCGCUUUCAUGUAUUUACUAAGUGAAGUGAAAACAGAAAUGCCCAGAGUCGUGUUCUUAUCCUGUAUGGGGACACACAGAAAGGCCCGAGUCGUGUUUCUAAUCCUGGUAUG
rnacentral:lncRNA from 1 species